rnacentral:rRNA from 1 species
UACGUAGGCAGCGAGCGUUGUUCGGAGUUACUGGGCGUAAAGGGUGUGUAGGCGGUUGUUUAAGUUUGGGGUGAAAUCUCCCGGCUCAACUGGGAGGGUGCGCCGAAUACUGAAUGACUAGAGUGCGGGAGAGGCAAGUGGAAUUCCUGGUGUAGCGGUGAAAUGCGUAGAUAUCAGGAGGAACACCGGUGGUGUAGACGGCUUGCUGGACCGUAACUGACGCUGAGACACGAAAGCGUGGGUAGCAAACAGG